GUCAUGCCUAAGGACGCUUAAUGAUAGUUUUAGUAUAAUUUAUUUGAAAUCACAAUGUUUAAUUUGUAAAGAAGGGGCAAUAAGUGAAGAAGUGCUAGUCUAAGGUUAGGCCAACACAAACGUAGGUUGUUAGCAAAUGACACUACACUGAGCUUCUACGCCCCAACCCUAUACCCUCUGAUGUCCUCUACGGUUUGAAGUAUGCAUAUUAAAAGCUCAAUGGUCAGAGUUAAGGGCAAAUGUGAAAAAGAACAUCCCUGCCUUGUUCCCC